rnacentral:rRNA from 1 species
AACGAACGCUGGCGGCAGGCUUAACACAUGCAGGUCGAACGGGUGUAGCAAUACAUCAGUGGCAGACGGGUGAGUAACACGUGGGAACCUACCUAGUUCUACGGAACAACACAGGGAAACUUGUGCUAAUACCGUAUACGCCCUACGGGGAAAGAUUUAUCGGAAUUAGAUGAGCCCGCGUUGGAUUAGCUAGUUGGUGACGUAACGGCUCACCAAGGCGACGAUCCAUAGCUGGUCUGAGAGGAUGAUCAGCCUCACUGGGACUGAGACACGGCCCAGACUCCUACGGGAGGCAGCAGUGGGGAAUAUUGGACAAUGGGCGCAAGCCUGAUCCAGCCAUGCCGCGUGAGUGAUGAAGGCCUUAGGGUUGUAAAGCUCUUUCAGUGGGGAAGAUAAUGACGGUACCCACAGAAGAAGCCCCGGCUAACUUCGUGCCAGCAGCCGCCGUAAGAC